UCCCUUUCUUUCUGCCCCUCCCCUGCUCGCUCUCGUGUGCUCUCUUUCUCAAAUAAGUAAACUUAAAACACUUAAAAAUCAAUACCGUGCUAUUUAGGUAAAUUGGCCUAUAAAACAACCUAGCAGCCUUUUCUUGAGAAAUGCCAUUUUCUCUUCACUUCAUUGACGACCCACAGCGUGGCUCAAAACUGCAUCCAUUACACAUUGUUUUUAUUCUCUUAUCAGUAGCCAUAAAGCAAGUUAUCUUGCAUUUUUCCAUGACUUUUACUACAAUCGUUAUUGUGUCUCAAGGCAAGGCUGCAUCUAGAUAGAUAUUUACAAUUCAGGCUAGUAUGUCCUAUAACUGAAAGUUUGCCGUUGUUUAUUUCUAUAAAUGAGUUUUCAACCGCUCUGGUUCUCUGAAGUCCAGCUAGUCUGUGUACCGUGAGGGUGAAAAGCCCUUGUGAGGUCUCGAGGGAGGAUGACCCAGACUGGCCUAAUUCCAAGACCAGGGACUAGAGCCGGCACCGUGCAAAUGAUAAUCUCGUUUCUCUCUUUGAAUUUUACAUAACACUGUUUGAGGCCACACAACAGCUUUUCUACAGAUUUUCCCACUUCCAAGAACUUAUCUACGGAGACAGUUACUGUUGCUAUUCUGGCCUCACUCCGUGUUCCGUAGCUCAGUGAGCUGGCUUGCGUUCUUCUCCACCACACUUUUCCUAAACAGCCGUGAUCGCUUACACAUGGAUAAGGUUUUACACUUGGAAUCUCACAACAGACCCCGCUAGUAAAGCAAGGCAAACUUUAAUUAUGAUGGUCACCUUGCAGAUGGUGAAGCCGAGGCCCGGAGAGAGCUUGAAUGACUGUCACCUUGACGGGGUGCUCAGAGCCUGGGGGCACGAUGAUGACAGUGUGUCCUCUUCGCUGCCCUCUCAGCGGGAGGCCAGAAAGGGCGCCCUGCUGUUAUUAUUCGGCCUAUUUUCGGAUGGUAUUUAAUGGCACAGAACUUGAAAAGGUACAAGUGGUAUAAGCAAGAAGUCCCUCUCCCUUUCUGGUUUCCUAAUCCCUCAUUCUUCCUUCCAGAAGCAAUAUGGUCACUGGCUUAUCUAUUCUACCAGAAAUAUUCUAUACAGAUAACCUAUAUCUCUCGGAAGUAUUUUAUUCUCUCUUCCUUCCUUCUUUCUUGAAGAGUCAACUUCCCUUUUUACUUAAGGCAGACGUCUGGAACGAAUACGAAACCCACUCGGAGCAGAUGCUAAACUGCAGAAAGGCUUUGGUAAACCGAUCACCCAGAUUGUUCCAAAUAUCCAGAUGUUUGAAAUGGUACGGAAAACUUGUGACUCACAACAGCUUCUAAAGGAGUUAGGCGAAGCCCUCCCUGUGGUGUCGCACUAUAAUUGCCUUGGGCCCUCGUGCCCUGCCUGGGGACCACUUAAACCUUGAUACGGAUUUGGAAUACGGCAACUGCAUGCGUAUUGACAGUGUGAAUUGAAACCAGGGUUACGAUACUGUGAAUGAAGUGACUCUGAGGCCCACACAGACUUGAGUUGGAAAACUAAUUCUGUCAUUUAUGGCUGCAUGACAUCGGUAGUCACUGAA